GACGAACCGAGCGAACGUUGUUCGGAAUUACUGGGCGUAAAGCGUGUGUAGGCGGUUCUCUAAGUCGGAUGUGAAAUCCCUGGGCUCAACCCAGGAAGUGCACUCGAAACUGGAGGGCUAGAGUAUCGGAGAGGUUGGUGGAAUUCUCGGUGUAGAGGUGAAAUUCGUAGAUAUCGAGAGGAACACCGGUGGCGAAGGCGGCCAACUGGACGAAUACUGACGCUGAGACACGAAAGCGUGGGGAGCAAACAGG
rnacentral:rRNA from 1 species